rnacentral:rRNA from 1 species
UACCAGCACCCCGAGUGGUCGGGACGAUUAUUGGGCCUAAAGCAUCCGUAGCCGGUUCUACAAGUCCUCCGUUAAAUCCACCUGCUUAACAGAUGGGCUGCGGAAGAUACUAUAGAGCUAGGAGGCGGGAGAGGCAAGCGGUACUCGAUGGGUAGGGGUAAAAUCCGUUGAUCCAUUGAAGACCACCAGUGGCGAAGGCGGCUUGCCAGAACGCGCUCGACGGUGAGGGAUGAAAGCUGGGGGAGCAAACCGG